rnacentral:rRNA from 1 species
CGCGUAGGCGGGCAUUCAAGUCCGUGGUGAAAUCCGGCAGCUCAACUGUCGAAUUGCCGCGGAUACUGGGUGUCUCGAGGGAGGUAGGGGCGUGCGGAACUAAUGGUGGAGCGGUGAAAUGCGUUGAUAUCAUUAGGAACUCCGGUGGCGAAGGCGGCACGCUGGACCUCUUCUGACGCUGAGGCGCGAAAGCCAGGGGAGCAAACGGGAUUAGAUACCCCGGUAGUCCUGGCCCUAAACGUUGGGUACUAGAUAGUAGCCUUCACAUGGGGUUACUGUCGAAGCAAAAGUGCUAAGUACCCCGCCUGGGGAGUAUGGUCGCAAGGCUGAA